UUGGUCUUAUAUGGUUUCUCAUAACUUAUCUAUGGUAUAAUAGUUUAUUGGACCCAUUAGGCGAGAAAAGGAAAGAGGGAAACAAACAUAUACCUUCGCACUUCAUAUAUGACUCAAGAAUUUUGAAACUGUUGCAUUAUAAUAGUAGAGAUACAGAUGUUCCGCACCCACUCGUCAAUGCGCAGUCUGGGUCGUUGUUUCCCGUAUCUAUCUAUUGACAAAACUACAAAGACAAAUACCUGUAGCUGUAGCUGCUACUCUACUCAAGUGGGCAGCAAAUGAAAUGUAAACCCUCGUACCUGACGCGCGCGGCGCUAUAGAUACGGGCGGCGCACACUUCGUCCUUGUUUCUUCUUUCUCAGGUCGUCUUCUUCGUCAGGAUGUCCCCAGCCGGCCGGGCAGCCCCGCCCACGCUGCCCUCGAUGAUGUGUGCGCUGCUUCAGUUAGCAGGACACACACGCCCGAUCGAUUAGGAAUCUGCCCACACAAACACACACAUUUUCUCUUUGGUUCUCCAGGCGCACGCCGGUGCCAUGCCUACCUUCUUUCUCUCUCACCUCAUUGUGCCAGUGGCGUUGCAGCGGUGAGCGAGAACACCGCGAGCACGGGCACGGCUCAGAACCACAGAAGAGCGUGAGCGCGUCAAGCGGCUGCCCGUGCCCGGUACACGCAUUAUUGCCGGUACUUGCCUCGUUUAUUUAUGGCAACCGGCACUCAUCUAUAUAAGGUUUUUGCCACAAUGCUUA
rnacentral:lncRNA from 1 species